AUGCUUAUAAUGGAGCAUGAUCAUGAAUAGUUUGUAUUUUGGUCUUUGGUGCAACUCAUUUGCUAUAAAAAGAGAUGUAUUGUAACAUAAAAAUUCAGAGGCAAUUGAAAUAAAACCACCAGUGUGCUUAAAUAUAAACAUGUUUUUAUAAAUUUUCUCUUCUUUCUGAAAGCUCUAAUUAUUACGUUCAUAUCAUAAAUUCCCCAUAAGAGAUGCAAGUAUGUUCUACACUCGUCUCAAAAAUGAAGAUCGUGUGUAUCAGAAAACAUCUGACUGUUUAUCCUUGCUACGAUAACAGUUUCUAUCAAUUAUUGUCAAAGAAAGGUGUACAAUUUAGGCAGAUUUAAUGGUUUCAACGAGAGGAAUGGAAUCUCGAAUGGAAAUACUGGAGCGUGGGUUUGAUGGGUUAUUAAGUAUGUGGAAGUCUUGAACAAGAAAGGCUGGAAUGGUUGGAAGUUGGAACUUAAAGGAAAAUGUAUGAGAUCAUGGAAAUGAUGUGAUGAUUGACAAUACGUGCCAAUCCAGAAGAAAGUUUCGGAGAAGAAAGUUUCAGGGAAGAAAGUCAUGCAGGGAAUGACCAAGUGAGAAACCAAGACUGCAAAACAGAAAAAAUGGCGGUAAUUGGAAAUUUCAAUUUUUUAUGGUGAAGAGGCAUAUGGGUGGAUGAACUGUGUAGGGAGAUAGUUUGAUUUGAAGUGGAUGACUGAGUCAGAUAAGUUACUAGCAGUUAUUGUGGCAAUCGAGGGCAAGGCAUUGACAUGGUAUUAAUGGUGGGAAUUUUCUGUACAAAAUCCCACUUGGGAUGAUUUCCGGUCUGCUGUGAUUUGGCCCUUACAACCAUCCAUGAUUAAAAGCCCUUUUGAUUGUUAUCGAGUCUUAGACGAACUGGGUGGGUAGAAGAAUGCAGAGAAAAUGUGACUUAUACGUGGGUUUGUUUGAAUGAAGUAAUCAAGGCAGAAUUGAAACUUUAUCGAGUGGAUGGCUUGUUUGAAUUGAUAGAUUAUGGCCAAAGGGUGGAUGCGAAGAAUAAUUUGAAAAACAAGGGAAGCAUUUUUACAGGUUUUAGUGGAAAACCAACCUAGACUUACAACAACCCUAGAAAAGAAAGGAGUGCUUAGGAGAUUAACUGAUGUUGAGAUCCAAGAGAGAUCCAGAAAGGGCCUUUGAUUUAGAUGUGAUGAGAAAUUCAUCACAGGCCAUGUAUGUGCAAACAAACUAUAACUACAAUUGAUGGAGGAAGAAGUUGAAGAUGGAGAGAAAGAGAAGGAACCGUAUACACACGAGGAAGGAGAGAUGAAAAAUUUACAGUUAUCCAUGUGUAGCAUCACUUGCAUUACCUCUGAGAAAUCCAUCAAAUUAUGGGGAAAUUUAGAGGGAAAACAAAUGAUAAUCCUUAGAUUGGGGUGCCUCACAUAGUUUCAUCAUAUCUUCCGCAUUGGGCAAAAAUCACCAAUUACAGGUAUCUGAAACUUCACCAAUACAGUGAAGGUGGGGAUGGAAAGAAGUUUUCUUGUGGAGCGGUGUGUCCUCAAUUAAAGUUAAAUUUACAAGGCUAGGAGAUCCAACAAGAUUUUUUUUUAUCUUUGAUCUAGGAGGAGUUGAUACAGUGUUAGGCAUGGAAUGGUUGGCUAGUCUUAGUGAAACUAGAGUCAAUUUCAAGGAGUUGACACUAAUGCUUCCAAUUGAUGGAAAGCGUCAUAUUUUGAAAGAAGAACCUGGUGUAACUCGCACGGCAGCAUCACUCAAAGCUAUUCUCAACACAAUAAAUGAUCAAGGACAAGGAUUUUUACUUCAAUGUCAAAGUUUGUAGGCUGAAACCAAAUGCAGUGCAAUUGGGCCUGAGUGCGUAGAAGUGAUAUUGGAUGAAUAUAUAGAGGUCUUCCAAGAACCUCGAGGAUUACCUCCACCUAGAAGACAGGAUCAUGCAAUUGUUCUUAAAUAUAGAGCUAACAAUUCAAAUAUCAGGCCUUACAAAUAUCCACAUUACCACAAAAAUAGAUCCAAAGGUUUGUUGAUGAUAUGUUUAAUUCAGGUAUGACUCUAACAAGUGAGUCCUUAUGGAGGAUGGCGAUUUUGUGUAGAUUAUUGAGCUUUGAAUAAAAUUGUCGGACCAUACAAAUUUCCCAUUCUUAUUAUAAUGAAUUGCUUGAUGAACUUGGAGGAGCAAUGAUUUUCUCUUAGUUGGAUCUUAGGUAUGGGUAUCACCAAAUCAGGAUGAAGGAGGAAGAUAUUCUUAAAAUUGCUUUUAGAACUCGCGAAGGGCAUAUGCUUUCAUUGUUUCCUUUAUCUUUCUAUUCUCUUUUUGUCAAGAUUGUGUCAAGAUUGUGAAUGUGUGUGUCUGUAUAUUGUACUACAACUACCUCUGAUUUGAGAAUCAUUCUCCAAACUAAAGUAAUAAAUUUUGAGUUUACUCGUUAAUUUC